GACGAACGCUGGCGGCGUGCUUAACACAUGCAAGUCGAACGGAAAGGCCCUGCUCUUGCGGGGUGCUCGAGUGGCGAACGGGUGAGUAAAACGUGAGUAACCUGCCCUUGACUUUGGGAUAACUUCAGGAAAAUGGGGCUAAUACCGGAUAGGAGAUCCUGCUGCAUGGUGGGGGUUGGAAAGUUUCGGCGGUUGGGGAUGGACUCGCGGCUUAUCAGCUUGUUGGUGGGGUAGUGGCUUACCAAGGCUUUGACGGGUAGCCGGCCUGAGAGGGUGACCGGCCACAUUGGGACUGAGAUACGGCCCAGACUCCUACGGGAGGCAGCAGUGGGGAAUAUUGCACAGUGGGCGGAAGCCUGUUGCAGCAACGCCGCGUGCGGGAUGACGGCCUUCGGGUUGUAAACCGCUUUCGCCUGUGACGAAGCGUGAGUGACGGUAAUGGGUAAAGAAGCACCGGCUAACUACGUG
rnacentral:rRNA from 1 species